rnacentral:rRNA from 1 species
ACGCUGGCGGUGCGCCUUAUGCAUGCAAGUCGAGCGAAGCUUUUCAGUAGUUUACUACAGAAAAUGACUGAGCGGCGAACGGGUGAGUAACGCGUGAGCAAUCUACCUUAGUUACAGGGAUAGCCCGAGGAAACUCGGAUUAAUACCUGAUAUUCUUUACAUUUCACAUGAAAUCAAAAGGAAAGGUCAGCCGAACUAAGAUGAGCUCGCGUUCUAUCAGCUAGUUGGUGAGGUAAUAGCUCACCAAGGCAACGACGGAUACCUGGUCUGAGAGGACGAUCAGCCACACUGGGACUGAGACACGGCCCAGACUCCUACGGGAGGCUGCAGCAGGGAAUAUUGCGCAAUGAGCGAAAGCUUGACGCAGCGACACCGCGUGUGGGAUGACGGAUCUAGGUUUGUAAACCACUUUCAGGAGGGAAGAAAAUGACGGUACCUCCACAAGAAGCCCCGGCCAACUACGUGCCAGCAGCCGCGGUAAUACGUAGGGGGCGAGCGUUGUCCGGAUUUAUUGGGCGUAAAGAGCUCGUAGGCGGUUCGACA